UAGGCAUUAUCCAAAGAAGAAAGUAUCACGACCUUUGGCAAAAGAGCUUUGGGCAUGAUUACCAUUCUCAUCUAGAGGUGAAGGCAUGAGAUGGGGUGAGAGAGGAUAUAUGCAUGGAAAAAGCACAGCUGCUGCAUCCCUUUCUACUUAAAUUAAGGAGACUUCCUGUUUGGGUACAAACUGCCUUAGGUGGACUUAGAUUUAACACCAUGCCUAGCACGUCCUGGAUAUUUGUUGAUUUGAGACUCUAAGGUACAGUCCCAC
rnacentral:lncRNA from 1 species